UUCUAAGGGCGUUGAAGCAUGAUCGCAAGGACAUGUGGAGCGCUUAGAAGUGAGAAUGCCGGUGUGAGUAGCGAAAGACGGGUGAGAAUCCCGUCCACCGAUUGACUAAGGUUUCCAGAGGAAGGCUCGUCCGCUCUGGGUUAGUCGGGUCCUAAGCUGAGGCCGACAGGCGUAGGCGAUGGAUAACAGGUUGAUAUUCCUGUACCACCAUUAUUCGUUUUAAGCGAUGGGGGGACGCAGUAGGAUAGGCGAAGCGUGCUGUUGGAGUGCACGUCCAAGCAGUGAGAUUGAGUGUUAGGCAAAUCCGGCACUCUUAAGAUUGAGCUGUGAUGGGGAGAGGAACUUGUUCCUCGAGUCGUUGAUUUCACACUGCCGAGAAAAGCCUCUAGCUAGAAUAACGGUGCCCGUACCGCAAACCGACACAGGUAGUCAAGAUGAGAAUUCUAAGGUGAGCGAGCGAACUCUCGUUAAGGAACUCGGCAAAAUGACCCCGUAACUUCGGGAGAAGGGGUGCUCUUUGAGGUUCACGCUUCGAAGAGCCGCAGUGAAUAGGCCCAAGCGACUGUUUAUCAAAAACACAGGUCUCUGCUAAACCGUAAGGUGACGUAUAGGGGCUGACGCCUGCCCGGUGCUGGAAGGUUAAGAGGAGUGGUUAGCGCAAGCGAAGCUACGAAUCGAAGCCCCAGUAAACGGCGGCCGUAACUAUAACGGUCCUAAGGUAGCGAAAUUCCUUGUCGGGUAAGUUCCGACCCGCACGAAAGGCGUAACGAUUUGGGCACUGUCUCAACGAGAGACUCGGUGAAAUCAUAGUACCGGUGAAGAUGCCGGUUACCCGCGACAGGACGGAAAGACCCCGUGGAGCUUUACUGUAGCCUGAUAUUGAAAUUCGGUACAGUUUGUACAGGAUAGGUAGGAGCCUUAGAAGCGUGAGCGCUAGCUUACGUGGAGGCAUUGGUGGGAUACUACCCUAAUUGUAUUGGAUUUCUAACCCGCAGCACUUAUCGUGCUGGGAGACAGUGUCAGGCGGGCAGUUUGACUGGGGCGGUCGCCUCCUAAAGAGUAACGGAGGCGCUCAAAGGUUCCCUCAGAAUGGUUGGAAAUCAUUCAUAGAGUGUAAAGGCAUAAGGGAGCUUGACUGCGAGACCUACAAGUCGAGCAGGGUCGAAAGACGGACUUAGUGAUCCGGUGGUUCCGCAUGGAAGGGCCAUCGCUCAACGGAUAAAAGCUACCCCGGGGAUAACAGGCUUAUCUCCCCCAAGAGUUCACAUCGACGGGGAGGUUUGGCACCUCGAUGUCGGCUCAUCGCAUCCUGGGGCUGUAGUCGGUCCCAAGGGUUGGGCUGUUCGCCCAUUAAAGCGGUACGCGAGCUGGGUUCAGAACGUCGUGAGACAGUUCGGUCCCUAUCCGUCGUGGGCGUAGGAAAUUUGAGAGGAGCUGUCCUUAGUACGAGAGGACCGGGAUGGACAUACCUCUGGUGUACCAGUUGUCGUGCCAACGGCAUAGCUGGGUAGCUAUGUAUGGACGGGAUAAGUGCUGAAAGCAUCUAAGCAUGAAGCCCCCCUCGAGAUGAGAUUUCCCAACUUCGGUUAUAAGAUCCCUCAAAGAUGAUGAGGUGAAUAGGUUCGAGGUGGAAGCGUAGCGAUACGUG
rnacentral:rRNA from 1 species